CCUACGGGAGGCAGCAGUAAGGAAUCUUGCGCAAUGGGCGAAAGCCUGACGCAGCGACGCCGCGUGGGCGAUGAAGGCCUUCGGGUUGUAAAGCCCUUUUCUGGGGGACGAGGAAGGACGGUACCCCAGGAAUAAGUCACGGCUAACUACGUGCCAGCAGCCGCGGUAAAACGUAGGUGGCAAGCGUUAUCCGGAAUCACUGGGCGUAAAGGGCGUCUAGGCGGACGGGUAAGUCGUGCGUGAAAGCUCCUGGCGCAACUGGGAGAGGUCGUUUCAGACUGCCCGGCUUGAGGGUCGAAGAGGGAUGUGGAAUUCCCGGUGUAGUGGUGAAAUGCGUAGAGAUCGGGAGGACCACCCGUGGCGUAGGCGGCGUCCGGGCCGACACCUGACGCUGAAGCGCGAAAGCGUGGGGAGCA
rnacentral:rRNA from 1 species